GACGAACGCUGGCGGCGUGCUUAACACAUGCAAGUCGAACGGAAAGGCCCCUUUGGGGGUACUCGAGUGGCGCACGGGUGAGUAACACGUGAGUAACCUGCCCUUGACUUCGGGAUAACUUCAGGAAACUGGGGCUAAUACCGGAUAGGAAUCCUUGCUGCAUGGUGGGGGUUGGAAAGCUUCGGCGGGUUUGGAUGGACUCGCGGCUUAUCAGCUUGUUGGUGGGGUAGUGGCUUACCAAGGCUUUGACGGGUGGCCGGCCUGAGAGGGCGACCGGCCACAUUGGGACUGAGAUACGGCCCAGACUCCUACGGGAGGCAGCAGUGGGGAAUAUUGCACAAUGGGCGGAAGCCUGAUGCAGCAACGCCGCGUGCGGGAUGACGGCCUUCGGGUUGUAAACCGCUUUCAGCAGGGGCGAAGCUUGUGGUGACGGUACCUGCAGAAGAAGCACCGGCUAACUACGUG
rnacentral:rRNA from 1 species